rnacentral:rRNA from 1 species
AUUGAACGCUGGCGGCAUGCCUUACACAUGCAAGUCGAACGGCAGCACGGGGGCAACCCUGGUGGCGAGUGGCGAACGGGUGAGUAAUACAUCGGAACGUGUCCUGUAGCGGGGGAUAACCUCUCGAAAGAGAGGCUAAUACCGCAUACGACCUGUGGGUGAAAGAGGGGGAUCGCAAGACCUCUCACUAUAGGAGCGGCCGAUGUCGGAUUAGCUAGUUGGUGGGGUAAAAGCCCACCAAGGCUACGAUCCGUAGCUGGUCUGAGAGGACGACCAGCCACACUGGAACUGAGACACGGUCCAGACUCCUACGGGAGGCAGCAGUGGGGAAUUUUGGACAAUGGGCGCAAGCCUGAUCCAGCCAUGCCGCGUGGGUGAAGAAGGCC